GAUGAACGCUAGCGGCAGGCUUAACACAUGCAAGUCGAGGGGCAGCGCGGGAUAGCAAUAUCCUGGCGGCGACCGGCGGAAGGGUGCGUAACGCGUGAGCGACAUGCCCGUUGCCCGGGGACAACCGGUGGAAACGCCGACUAAUCCCCGAUGGGAUACGAUGCUUCAUGGCAUUGUAUUGAAAGUUACGGCGGCGACGGAUUUGCUCGCGUCCGAUUAGCUGGUUGGCGGGGUAACGGCCCACCAAGGCUGCGAUCGGUGGGGGUUCUGAGAGGAAGGCCCCACACAAUGGGACUGAGACACGGCCCAUACUCCUACGGGAGGCAGCAGUGAGGAAUAUUGGUCAAUGGGCGGAAGCCUGAACCAGCCAUGCCGCGUGCGGGAAGGAGGCCCUAUGGGCUGUGAACCGCUUUUGCAUGGGGGCAAUAAGGGCGUCGCGCACGUCCGAUGAGAGUACCAGGCGAAUAAGCAUCGGCUAACUCCGUG
rnacentral:rRNA from 1 species